rnacentral:rRNA from 1 species
UUCCGGUUGAUCCUGCCGGACCUGACUGCUAUCGGAUUGAUACUAAGCCAUGCGAGUCUUUGCAGUAAUGCAAGGCAUACGGCUCAGUAACACGUAGUCAACUUACCCUAUGGACGAGGAUAAUCUCGGGAAACUGAGCAUAAUACUCGAUAGAACACUAUACCUGGAAUGGUUUGUGUUCCAAAUGAUUUAUCGCCGUAGGAUGGGACUGCGGCCUAUCAGUUUGUUGGUGAGGUAAUGGCCCACCAAGACUAUUACAGGUACGGGCUCUGAGAGGAGUAGCCCGGAGAUGGGUACUGAGACACGGACCCAGGCCCUAUGGGGCGCAGCAGGCGAGAAAACUUUGCAAUGUGCGAAAGCACGACAAGGUUAAUCCGAGUGGUUUCUGCUAAAGGAACCUUUUGUUAGUCCUAGAAACACUAACGAAUAAGGGGUGGGCAAGUUCUGGUGUCAGCCGCCGCGGUAAAACCAGCACCUCAAGUGGUCAGGAUGAUUAUUGGGCCUAAAGCAUCCGUAGCCGGCUCUGUAAGUUUUCGGUUAAAUCUGUACGCUCAACGUACAGGCUGCCGGGAAUACUGCAAAGCUAGGGAGUGGGAGAGGUAGACGGUACUCGGUAGGAAGUGGUAAAAUGCUUUGAUCUAUCGAUGACCACCUGUGGCGAAGGCGGUCUACCAGAACACGUCCGACGGUGAGGGAUGAAAGCUGGGGGAGCAAACCGGAUUAGAUACCCGGGUAGUCCCAGCUGUAAACUAUGCAAACUCAAUGAUGCAUUGGCUUGAUGCCAAUGCAGUGUUGCAGGGAAGCCGUUAAGUUUGCCGCCUGGGAAGUACGUACGCAAGUAUGAAACUUAAAGGAAUUGGCGGGGGAGCACCACAAGGGGUGAAGCCUGCGGUUCAAUUGGAUUCAACGCCGGG